AUUGAACGCUGGCGGCAUGCCUUACACAUGCAAGUCGAACGGCAGCACGGGAGCAAUCCUGGUGGCGAGUGGCGAACGGGUGAGUAAUAUAUCGGAACGUGCCCAGUCGUGGGGAUAACGUAGCGAAAGCUACGCUAAUACCGCAUACGAUCUAUGGAUGAAAGCGGGGGAUCGCAAGACCUCGCGCGAUUGGAGCGGCCGAUAUCAGAUUAGGUAGUUGGUGAGGUAAAGGCUCACCAAGCCGACGAUCUGUAGCUGGUCUGAGAGGACGACCAGCCACACUGGGACUGAGACACGGCCCAGACUCCUACGGAGGCAGCAGUGGGGAAUUUUUGGGACAAUGGGCGCAAGCCUGAUCCAGCAAUGCGCGUGCAGGAUGAAGGCCUUCGG
rnacentral:rRNA from 1 species